GACGAACGCUGGCGGCGUGCUUAACACAUGCAAGUCGAACGGAAAGGCCCUGCUCUUGUGGGGUGCUCGAGUGGCGAACGGGUGAGUAACACGUGAGUAACCUGCCCUUGACUUUGGGAUAACUUCAGGAAACUGGGGCUAAUACCGGAUAGGAGCUCCUGCUGCAUGGUGGGGGUUGGAAAGUUUCGGCGGUUGGGGAUGGACUCGCGGCUUAUCAGCUUGUUGGUGGGGUAGUGGCUUACCAAGGCUUUGACGGGUAGCCGGCCUGAGAGGGUGACCGGCCACAUUGGGACUGAGAUACGGCCCAGACUCCUACGGGAGGCAGCAGUGGGGAAUAUUGCACAAUGGGCGGAAGCCUGAUGCAGCAACUCCGCGUGCGGGAUGACGGCCUUCGGGUUGUAAACCGCUUUCGCCUGUGACGAAGCGUGAGUGACGGUAAUGGGGAAAGAAGCACCGGCUAACUACGU
rnacentral:rRNA from 1 species